rnacentral:rRNA from 1 species
AACGAACGCUGGCGGCAUGCCUAACACAUGCAAGUCGAACGAGAGCUUCGGGUCUAGUGGCGCACGGGUGCGUAACGCGUGGGAACCUGCCCUUAGGUUCGGAAUAACUCCUCGAAAGGGGUGCUAAUACCGGAUAAUGUCUUCGGAUCCAAGAUUUAUCGCCUUUGGAUGGGCCCGCGUUGGAUUAGCUAGUUGGUAGGGUAAAAGCCUACCAAGGCGACGAUCCAUAGCUGGUCUGAGAGGAUGAGCAGCCACACUGGGACUGAGACACGGCCCAGACUCCUACGGGAGGCAGCAGUGGGGAAUAUUGGACAAUGGGCGAAAGCCUGAUGCAGCAAUGCCGCGUAAGUGAUGAAGGCCUUAGGGUUGUAAAGCUCUUUUACCCGGGAUGAUAAUGACAGUACCGGGAGAAUAAGCUCCGGCUAACUCCGUG